GAUCAUGGCUCAGGAUGAACGCUAGCUACAGGCUUAACACAUGCAAGUCGAAGGGGAACGACAUCGAAAGCUUGCUUUUGAUGGGCGUCGACCGGCGCACGGGUGAGUAACGCGUAUCCAACCUGCCCACCACUUGGGGAUAACCUUGCGAAAGUAAGACUAAUACCCAAUGAUAUCUCUAGAAGACAUCUGAAAGAGAUUAAAGAUUUAUCGGUGAUGGAUGGGGAUGCGUCUGAUUAGCUUGUUGGCGGGGUAACGGCCCACCAAGGCAACGAUCAGUAGGGGUUCUGAGAGGAAGGUCCCCCACAUUGGAACUGAGACACGGUCCAAACUCCUACGGGAGGCAGCAGUGAGGAAUAUUGGUCAAUGGGCGAGAGCCUGAACCAGCCAAGUAGCGUGCAGGACGACGGCCCUAUGGGUUGUAAACUGCUUUUAUAAGGGAAUAAAGUGAGUCUCGUGAGACUUUUUGCAUGUACCUUAUGAAUAAGGACCGGCUAAUUCCGUG
rnacentral:rRNA from 1 species